CACUUUCGAUCAGUUGUUGCUCCACGAGAUAAACGUUGGACGCAAGACAUGGGUUCCUGUGUUGCAUACCUAUUGCGACGGAAAUGUGUGCCUUCGAUCGUCCCUUCCAUCACGACGUCCUCACGGACGCUCGGUUGGACCGGAUAGUGGGGCUCGUGUUCCACGAACGUCGUCUCAUUCGAUCGUUCGGAUGGACCACGGGUGCCUACUCGUUCUCUCGGAUGCGGAACUCUCUUAAUGGGUGUGGGGUCAUUGGCCCUUGGUCCCGAAUCGUUAAGCGUUUAUCGCUUCACCGGAAUGACGAUCUUGCCUUGUCCUUGACCACGCGAAGCCCUCGGGCAUCGCGAUGGAUCAUGCUCGGCGGACGUCGUGAAGGAAUGC
rnacentral:misc_RNA from 1 species